rnacentral:lncRNA from 1 species
UUAUAUGAAAAAUUAUUUAAACUAUUUUUUUAUUUAAAACUUUUAUUUUUUGUAUUUUUAAAAUAAAAAUAUAUAAUAUUAUAAAAAACAUUUUAAAGAUGAAUCAAAUAAGUCCAUAAUCACAAUUAAAAGUUUUGGUAAAAAAAUAGGUUUAUUAAUGCAAUAGUUAGUACUAAUAUCUAACUUUGUGUUUAUUUUUUAAAAAAAAUAUCUAAUUUAAAAC